rnacentral:rRNA from 1 species
GUACUUUCAGUCGUGAGGAAGGCGGCGUCAUUAUAGCGGCGUUGUUUGACGUUAGCGACAGAAGAAAGCACCGGCUAACUCCGUGCCAGCAGCCGCGGUAAUACGGAGGGUGCGAGCGUUAAUCGGAAUUACUGGGCGUAAAGCGCAUGCAGGUGGUUUGUUAAGUCAGAUGUGAAAGACCCGGGGCGUCAACCUCGGAAUUGCAUUUGAAACUAGGCAGACUAGAGUACUGUAGAGGGGGGUAGGAAUUUCAGGUGUAGCGGUGAAAUAGCGUAGAGAUCUGAAGGAAUACCGGUGGCGAAGGCGGCCCCCUCGGACAGAUACUGACACUCAGAUGCGAAAGCGUGGGGAGCAAACAGGAUUAGAUACCCUGGUAG